CAACAAGAGUGGAUUAUAAGGACUAAAUGGAGAAAAACGUCUGUUGGUGGUCACCGGUGCUCAGGACAGGAGAGGACGUUCGUUUAAGGCUUGCUUGACCUUCCUACAAAGAGUGGCUCCAGGACAAAAUAAUGGACAAUGCAGCAGUGGUUGCUCGAGUCGGGAAAUGCGGCUGGUACAUCAUGGAAAAGAUCAUCAUCAUAAACUAAAAAAUGGACUCUCAGUCAGAGGUUUGCAACCUCUUAGUGUCCCCCGUGACAUGUAAAACCCCUACGAUAUGUUAAUUGUUAUUUAAUGCUGUUAUUUUUAAUGUUGUUGUAUCAGUUUUGUUUGAUAAAUUUAAUCUGCCUUGUUAAAUAACGUACUGAAGUAAUACUACCUAAUUGUUACCAGAUAUGUAUUAUAAGUAUUAAUAAAUGUGUAGCCUAAAUACGAUUAUUUUUUUAAAUAAAUAAUUGUUGUCAUGGACAAGUGCAAUAGUC